AGUCAACGAACACACUUUGUUCAAUAUUAGAGACAUUUGUAAACUCUAAAUCAUUUAGUUAGCCAUUAUCAUGACAUAAGCCUUAAAAACCUAACCCCUAAUCCCUAAACUCUAAACUUCAUAACGUUGAGGCAAGAAAAAAAAAAUUAGAGAAGGCGGGUUUUGAAAAAAUAAAAAUAAAAAGCGGGACAUUUGUAAGUUCUAACUCAAAAAUGCGCCUAAAGGCAAAAAUAAAAACUCAAUUAGAAGAGUAACACGACAGAAAAAACCCUAAAGGUUCAGCAUACAGAACAACAAAUGAGUCGGAGUGCUCGGCUGGGGUUUGGGGGCAAACUGAAACUGCAUGGGUGAUCAAAAGGCUUCCUGAUGUUGCAGAGGCGAAUUGGCUCACUCCUCUUCCGGAAUCAGCCUUCUCUUUCUCAAUUGAUAUCAAAGUUCAUUGCGUUGGGUGUGGAUUACUGAUUGAGAAAAGAGUUUACGACUAUGAUGUUAUAAAGAAGUCUUGGAAGAAAGGUUGCCAAGAAUGAUUUGUAGUCUGCGUCACUGCGUGUUUGAGUUUAACCAGUACAACUUACUUGAGAAUGAUAAGGAUUAUUUCAAUGUUUUUCAUGACUGUGGUUUCUGAUAUGGCCUAUUUUUAAAAGGAUGUUCCUUGAAGAAAGAACUGCAAAAGACUAUUUGAAUUACUGAUCACAUUGGGAGGUUGGCACACAGUCUUGCUGUUUUGGAAGGUGUUGCUAUUGACUUUAACCCAGAUUACAAGGUUUUAGGUAGCACAUACCCAUCGAUUGCUAGGAAAAUACUGACCACCAACUCACCACAGCUCAAGUCUUUCCUGCAGGCCUUUUUUUAUGAGAAUGGUAUUGGGUGGACAAAACUCAGAAGUGCAGCAUUGCAGCAUCUCUCAAAUAGUUAGACUUCUAAUGUUUAAAAAAAAAAAAAAAUUGUUAGACUUCUGCACAAUUGGUUUCUUUUAUUGAUGAGUAUACAUUACAAAUGUUCAAGUGUAAUGGAGACCCAAAAUCAAUAGCGUAGAAAGGCUAUUUGUUUAUUUAUUCACAGAUUUAUAUUUUCUUUUCAAUGAUUAAUGUUUUAGUGGUU